rnacentral:tRNA from 1 species
GCGGGGAUAGCCAAGCGGCCAACGGCGGCAGACUCAAGAUCUGCUCUCUUAGGAGUUCGUGGGUUCGAAUCCCCCUCCCCGCA